rnacentral:rRNA from 1 species
CUUUGCUUUUUUAUAGACUGGAUUUAUAUAUUUAUAACUAAAAUUAGGUUAAAUUUUUUUUUUACAGAGUUAAAUAUUUAGAUUGAUGAAAGAUGUAUAAUAGUGACAGGGAUUAGAUACCCCAUUAAUGUACAUUGUAGCUUUGUCUUAGUUAAUAUAACUAAAAUAAUUUGGCAGUGAGCGACUCUUUUUAGGGGAAGGUGUGGUGUAAAGGAUGUUCCGCCUAAUAAUUUACUUUCAUUAUGUUGGUGUAUAUCUGGUUUAAUAUUAUCGUUGAGUAAGCGAGUUUGUGUAGUUUUAUUUAAGCCAAGUCUAUGUGCUGCUUAUGAAAGUAUUCAUGCGUUACAUUUAUAAGGUUUUGGUUGUAAUACUAAAAUAUUUAGGACUUAAAAGUAAUGUUCAAUAAGUUUGUGAGUGUGAAGUAAGUUUAGCUCAUG